GGACGGUGAUUGAUGGCGGGCCCUUCUCUGUGGGCCCCUCAGAGUGGAGCUGUGCCAGAGGAAGCGCAGCCCGGAACCAUGGCCCAGCCUCCUGACCUGUGGGCCGUGGGCACUGAGGGGGGCUGGACAGUA
ensembl:snoRNA